GACAUUGUUUAGGCAAUGUAUCAAGAGCACUAGAGAUGCGAACACGAUUUCAGAUUUUAUGGGUAUAGGAAUAUCGUAAAAAAAUAAAUAAUUCUAUAGAAUAAAGCCAUUUGAAUAAGGAAAUUCUCACGUCAUUUCUCCAAAUAGUCUCCAAAUACUUAUCCAAAGCAAAACUUAAAAUAGAUCAAAAAUGCUCCUCAAGACUUGCAUCCCUUCCUCCGCCAUAACCACAACAUCUCCACUUCUUUCCCUCACCAAAUCCUCUUUACCUUUCUCCCAAAACCUCCGUAAAGUUUCAACCUUUCCACGCACUUCCAAAACCCCAUCUCUUUAUUCUUCCCCUAAAAUGAGUUGGCUCAACAAAUUGGGUUUUGGUGCAAAAACUGAUAGUACAGCAAUGGACUCAUCUUCCUCUGCAAUUGCACAAGGUCCUGAUGAUGACAUCCCUGCACCGGGUCAACAAUUUGCUCAAUUCGGAGCUGGCUGUUUUUGGGGCGUUGAAUUGGCUUUUCAAAGAGUGCCUGGUGUUACCAAAACUGAAGUUGGGUAUACCCAGGGGUAUUUACAUAAUCCUUCCUAUGAAGAUAUUUGCUCGGGAACUACUUUUCAUUCUGAGGUUGUUAGAGUUCAGUAUGAUCCUAAGGAGUGUAAUUUUGACACCUUGCUUGAUGUUUUUUGGGAUCGUCAUGACCCCACUACCCUUAAUCGUCAGGGUAAUGAUGUGGGCACCCAAUACAGAUCCGGGAUUUACUUCUAUACACCUGAGCAAGAGAAAGCAGCACUUGAAUCCCGGGACAAACAGCAAAAGAUAUUGAACAGGAAUAUUGUUACGGAGAUCUUGCCUGCUAAGAAGUUUUACAGAGCUGAGGAGUAUCAUCAGCAGUACCUUGCAAAGGGCGGUCGUUUUGGUUUCAGGCAGUCUACUGAGAAAGGUUGCAAUGAUCCCAUCCGAUGCUACGGUUAAGGCAGUUCUAUUUGCAGGAGAAAAUAAAUGGAUUUCCUGUUUGUUCUUGUAAGCUGCUAUGGUUGUUUAUAGGCUUGAAGUUGUGCUUCUGAAGUAGUGUAUUUAAUCUACACCUUAUUUAUUUUACAGGAAAUAGCAAACGGUAUAUUAUUGCAGUUGCAGAUUGUUUCAUCUUUGCUAGUAUGAUUACGAGUGAAAGCUCUUAAUGCAAUCUUACAUUGUACAUA